rnacentral:sRNA from 1 species
GGCCAUGGUUCAAAUCCUUUUCAAUUUUCUUUAGCUGACAUAAUCAGUAACAUCUCAACUCAAGACUUUGAUUUUGUAAAUCUGAGUAUACCUGAAAAUGGUUUUAAAGAUAACUUGAACUUUACGAACGUUAUGUCUAGCAGCAGGAACGAAUCUGAGACACUAUUUGGUGAUAUGUGAACAAUGAAACAGAAUCAAAGUGAAGAGAUUUCAAGAAUGAAACACUUUUAAGUAACAAGUUUAGACGCCCUUACAUUCAGGCCUA